CUAUAUUAAAGCUGUCGCAGGCUUGCUUGCGACUAUGGCGAUAAACGCACCCAUAAUACACGGCUCGGACUCGGGGGCGGUACCCGACGACUCCACCAAUAACCCUGUCUUUGCAGGUGCUUGGGGUCGAAAUAGGAUCGACGAACGUCUAAAGGGGCCAGCUUUUGCUCGGUGAGGUACCACCGUUAUCGGUCCGAAACGUACAGUUGCAAAUGACAACCGUGCUCCGGCAAUGGCUUUGGCUGCGUAAGCAGUUCGAGUCGCCGAAACUAAGUCCCUGCGCUUAGCCGCGUAGGGCGGGGUCCGCCGGAACCUGGCAACAGAAU
rnacentral:tmRNA from 1 species